ACGUCACUCACCAGGGUUGGUUGCCUAGUGACUAGUAGGGUCUGGGCUGAGGGUUGAGGUGGGAACGGGAGUCCUGGCACAGAAGGUUCUAGUCUUAACAACUUUGAAUUGAGGCCCAUAUCUCCUCUCCCAGACCUCAUGUCUACAAGUCCAUUUUACCGAUGAGGAAACAGUUCCAGCUAGCUAAGGACUGUCGAAGGCCCUGAGCCUGGGACAGGAAGCUCAGAAAGAUGAUAAUGGAUCUGAGGUGAGGGAAGAAGAGAAGAACGGAGCAGAGGGCAAGAAAAAGCAAAAGCAACUGGGAGACUUGGAUCAAGAUUAGGGCAAAGUGAGGGCCGGGCUGGAGACAGAACACACUGGGAGAUA